AUUGAACGCUGGCGGCAUGCCUUACACAUGCAAGUCGAACGGCAGCACGGGAGCAAUCCUGGUGGCGAGUGGCGAACGGGUGAGUAAAGUAUUGGAACGUGCCCAGUCGUGGGGGAUAACGUAGCGAAAGUUACGCUAAUACCGCAUACGAUCUAUGGAUGAAAGCGGGGGAUCGCAAGACCUCGCGCGAUUGGAGCGGCCGAUAUCAGAUUAGGUAGUUGGUGGGGUAAAGGCUCACCAAGCCGACGAUCUGUAGCUGGUCUGAGAGGACGACCAGCCACACUGGGACUGAGACACGGCCCAGACUCCUACGGGAGGCAGCAGUGGGGAAUUUUGGACAAUGGGCGCAAGCCUGAUCCAGCCAUGCCGCGUGCAGGAUGAAGGCCUUCGGGUUGUAAACUGCUUUUGUACGGAACGAAAAGGUUUGACUUAAUACGUUGGACUCAUGACGGUACCGUAAGAAUAAGCACCGGCUAACUACGUGCCAGCAGCCGCGGUAA
rnacentral:rRNA from 1 species